AAGUGGAGACAUAGACCUCCUCAUGGGUCCUAAAACAAAUGCCCUAAGAGCUCGCUUUCCCUGUCAGGAGAAGGUGAUGUUAACAUCUUGGAGAUUGACUUUUUUUUUUUUCUUUCCCUUUUGGCCCAUUUGUUCCCACAGGAAUUUCCAUUCAGGAAAUGCCAGCUGCAGGACGUGGUCACUCAGCCCGAAGCCGAGGCCGCCCCAAAGGUUCAGGAAGCACAGCCAAAGGAGCAGGGAAGGGCCGGAGCCGAAAGUCCACGGCAGGCAGUGCUGCUGCAAUGGCAGGAGCCAAAGCCGGGGCUGCAGCGGCCUCUGCAGCUGCCUAUGCCGCAUACGGGUACAACGUGUCUAAAGGAAUCUCCGCCAGCAGUCCUCUGCAGACAUCUCUUGUUCGGCCUGCUGGCCUUGCUGACUUUGGACCUUCAAGCGCCUCUUCUCCUUUGAGUUCCCCUUUGAGCAAGGGAAAUAAUGUUCCUGGGAAUCCCAAGAACCUCCACAUGACCAGCAGCCUAGCCCCAGACUCUCUGGUCCGGAAACAGGGCAAAGGCACCAACCCCUCUGGAGGACGGUAACCAUCUGGGCCCUCCGACUUCCUUCAACCAAACCAGGGCUAGAGUCCUGACCUGCCAGUGGUCUUUGGAUGGCUUGCCCCGUGCAGCAUCUUGCAUCCUGAGUCAGAAGUGGAAAUGUCCAGCAGGGGAAGGACAGGCAGGUGGAUGGUGUGAGCACUUUUAUCAUCUGUGUCUCAUCAGGAGCAUCUGGGGUGCCUGUAGGAGGAAGGCACAGGGCAGGGAUCAGCCCCACUGCAUCUCAAGUGAACUGCAUAGCCAAGUCUUAAACCUCUCACGGGGCAAGCCUGACACAGACCCCCUUUAGAUGCUCA
rnacentral:sRNA from 1 species